rnacentral:rRNA from 1 species
CCCGGCGAGGGGAGUGAAAAAGAACCUGAAACCGUGUACGUACAAGCAGUGGGAGCACGCUUAGGCGUGUGACUGCGUACCUUUUGUAUAAUGGGUCAGCGACUUAUAUUCUGUAGCAAGGUUAACCGAAUAGGGGAGCCGAAGGGAAACCGAGUCUUAACUGGGCGUUAAGUUGCAGGGUAUAGACCCGAAACCCGGUGAUCUAGCCAUGGGCAGGUUGAAGGUUGGGUAACACUAACUGGAGGACCGAACCGACUAAUGUUGAAAAAUUAGCGGAUGACUUGUGGCUGGGGGUGAAAGGCCAAUCAAACCGGGAGAUAGCUGGUUCUCCCCGAAAGCUAUUUAGGUAGCGCCUCGUGAAUUCAUCUCCGGGGGUAGAGCACUGUUUCGGCAAGGGGGUCAUCCCGACUUACCAACCCGAUGCAAACUGCGAAUACCGGAGAAUGUUAUCACGGGAGACACACGGCGGGUGCUAACGUCCGUCGUGAAGAGGGAAACAACCCAGACCGCCAGCUAAGGUCCCAAAGUCAUGGUUAAGUGGGAAACGAUGUGGGAAGGCCCAGACAGCCAGGAUGUUGGCUUAGAAGCAGCCAUCAUUUAAAGAAAGCGUAAUAGCUCACUGGUCGAGUCGGCCUGCGCGGAAGAUGUAACGGGGCUAAACCAUG